rnacentral:rRNA from 1 species
AAGAUCGAAUGGGGAGAUUCAUCGUCAACGAUGCUGGCUUCGAGGUGACUCGUGAUGCCCGUGGCUUCGGUCACGCGGUACGCGAUCGUCCCGUUGUGUCCGGCGGCGUCGGCGUGCACUUCUCCCCUAGUAGAACGUCGCGACCCGUUGGGUGCCGGUCUUACGGUACGGGCGGAUGACUGUCGCAUCGUUUAAACGCGCGUGUGACAGACCCCCGUUUUGCCAAUGAAUCCGGCUGCCCGGCGGUACUCCCAUGGUAUCGGGUCGCAAAUUCUCGAACUGCGUCGGGCCCAUUCUGCCCGCUCGUCGGCGUUCGGUGUUACCGUAACAACGGUGAUAUUCCAUUAACCCGACUUGCGUAUGGCGGAUGGUGUCCUCCGACGGGCCAAACAAAAUUUAUAAAAUAGAUACCGGUCGAGCGACGCUACUGCUUUGGGUAAUCUCAGGACCCGUCUUGAAACACGGACCAAGGAGUCUAACAUGUGCGCGAGUCAUUGGGACAGCAUGCCUAAAGGCGAAAUGAAAGUGAAGGUCGGUCUUUAGCGCCGACCGAGGGAGGAUGGGCCUCGUCACGAUGUGGCUCCGCACUCCCGGGGCGUCUCGUUCUCAUCGCGAGAAGAGGCGCACCCAGAGCGUACACGUUGGGACCCGAAAGAUGGUGAACUAUGCCUGGUCAGGACGAAGUCAGGGGAAACCCUGAUGGAGGUCCGUAGCGAUUCUGACGUGCAAAUCGAUCGUCGGAA